GACGAACGCUGGCGGCGUGCUUAACACAUGCAAGUCGAACGAAGUGGCGAACGGGUGAGUAACGCGUAAUCACCCUGCCCUUCAGAGGGGGACAACAGUUGGAAAAGACUGCUAAUACAGCAUACUGAAGGAGGGGAUUGGGUGUGAUUAGCUGGUUGGUGGGGUAACGGCCCAACAAGGCGAUGAUCAGGAGCCGGUCUGGGAGGAUGAGCGGCCACAUUGGGACUGAGACACGGCCCAGACUCCUACGGGAGGCAGCAGUGGGGAAUCUGCCGCAAUGUACGAAAGUCUGACGGAGCAACGCCGCGGUAGUGAUGACGGCCUUCGGGUUGUAGAGCUCUGUUAAUCGGGACACGGUACCGGAAUAAAAAGCCACGGCUAACUACGUGCCAGCAGCCGCGGUAAUAC
rnacentral:rRNA from 1 species